CCUACGGGUGGCUGCAGUGAGGAAUAUUGGUCAAUGGGCGCGAUCCUUAACCAUCCAAUUCUCUUUAUUGAAGACGGUCCUAUGGAUUGUAAACCUCUUUUGUCGGGGAGCAAAAGACGCCACGCGUGGCGUUCCGAGAGUACCCGAAGAAAAAGCAUCGGCUAACUCCGUGCCAGCAGCCGCGGUAAUACGGAGGAUGCGAGCGUUAUCCGGAUUUAUUGGGUUUAGAGGGUGCGCAGGCGGAAGAUCAAGUCAGCGGUAAAAUUGAGAGGCUCAACCUCUUCGAGCCGUUGAAACUGGUUUUCUUGAGUGAGCGAGAAGUAUGCGGAAUGCGUGGUGUAGCGGUGAAAUGCAUAGAUAUCACGCAGAACUCCGAUUGCGAAGGCAGCAUACCGGCGCUCAACUGACGCUCAUGCACGAAAGCGCGGGUAGCGAACAGGAUUAGAUACCCUUGUAGUC
rnacentral:rRNA from 1 species